rnacentral:rRNA from 1 species
ACGGCCAUACCAUGCUGAAUAUAUCGGUUCUCGUACGAUCACCGAAGUCAAGCAUCAUCGGACGCGGUCAGUACUUGGGAGGGGUGACCACCUGGGAACACCGCGUGCC